rnacentral:tRNA from 1 species
AGGGUGCUAGCUCAAUGGAAGAGCGCCUGCCUUAUAAGCAGGAGGUUGGUGGUUCGAUUCCUCCGUGCCCUA